rnacentral:misc_RNA from 1 species
GCGUCAUUACAACCCUCAAGCCCAGCUUGGUAUUGGGCGUCCGUCCCCCGGGCGCGUCCGAAAGUCAGCGGCGGUUCCGUCCGGGCACUCAGCGCAGUAACUCAAAACUCCUCGCUCAGUGGCCCCGGGCCGACCGGCCGGACAAGCCCUAAUCUUCAAUGGUUGACCUCGGAUCAGGUAGGGAUACCCGCUGAACUUAA